rnacentral:rRNA from 1 species
UUCUGACCGUAAACGAUGCCAACUAGCGAUCCGCCGGCGGAUUUUUCGCCCUGGUGGGUAGCUUCCCGGAAACGAAAGUCUUCCGGUUCCGGGGGAAGUAUGGUUGCAAAGCUGAAACUUAAAGGAAUUGACGGAAGGGCACCACCAGGAGUGGAGCCUGCGGCUUAAUUUGACUCAACACGGGGAAACUCACCCGGCCCGGACACCGUAAGGAUUGACAGAUUGAUAGCUCUUUCAUGAUUCGGUGGUUGGUGGUGCAUGGCCGUUCUUAGUUCGUGGAUCGAUUUGUCUGGUUUAUUCCGAUAACGAGCGAGACUCUAGCCUACUAAAUAGUAGCGGGAUUGCCAAUGUCCCAGUUGCUUCUUAGAGGGAUUUUCGGUGUUUAGCCGCACGAGAUUGAGCAAUAACAGGUCUGUGAUGCCCUUAGAUGUCCGGGGCUGCACGCGCGCUACACUGGCGAAAUCAGCGUGCCGUAACCAUUCUCGAAAGGGAUUGGUAAACCCAUGAAAAUUUGCCGUGCUUGGGAUCGGAAAUUGCAAUUAUUUUCCGUGAACGAGGAAUUCCAAGUAAGUGCGAGUCAUCAACUCGCUCUG